rnacentral:lncRNA from 1 species
CAAUCCCCUCUUUCAAGGAACUCAGGCUCUUGAACAGGGUAGUGGUGUGAUAGUGACAACAAACAGUUUCAAUAUUGUGUUAGGAACUGAGAAUUCUAGAGUGUUUUGUGAGCCAAAAUUGGUCUGGCUUCAAAUGUCUUCUAAGUGCCAGCAGACUAUGGAGCCAUAUCAUACCCUAGAAGUCUCCACAAUUUACCAAAUAAUUUUUGUUUAUUUGUAUAUUGUGACUAUAAACUCUUUAAUCAGUUGUAGUCAUUAUUCUUUUUGCUCAAGUUAUCCCAUCUUUGGCUAAUGGA